GAAUAUACUCAAAUUCCAAAACAUUGAGAUGGAUCUGAUCUUGGAAGCUAAGCAGGGUCGGGCCUGGUUAGUACUUGGAUGGAAGACUGACUGGGCAUAUCGGAUGUUAUAGGCU
rnacentral:rRNA from 1 species